rnacentral:rRNA from 1 species
GGUUAAGCGACUAAGCGUACACGGUGGAUGCCCUGGCAGUCAGAGGCGAUGAAGGACGUGCUAAUCUGCGAUAAGCGUCGGUAAGGUGAUAUGAACCGUUAUAACCGGCGAUUUCCGAAUGGGGAAACCCAGUGUGUUUCGACACACUAUCAUUAACUGAAUCCAUAGGUUAAUGAGGCGAACCGGGGGAACUGAAACAUCUAAGUACCCCGAGGAAAAGAAAUCAACCGAGAUUCCCCCAGUAGCGGCGAGCGAACGGGGAGCAGCCCAGAGCCUGAAUCAGUGUGUGUGUUAGUGGAAGCGUCUGGAAAGGCGCGCGAUACAGGGUGACAGCCCCGUACACAAAAAUGCACAUGCUGUGAGCUCGAUGAGUAGGGCGGGACACGUGGUAUCCUGUCUGAAUAUGGGGGGACCAUCCUCCAAGGCUAAAUACUCCUGACUGACCGAUAGUGAACCAGUACCGUGAGGGAAAGGCGAAAAGAACCCCGGCGAGGGGAGUGAAAAAGAACCUGAAACCGUGUACGUACAAGCAGUGGGAGCACGCUUAGGCGUGUGACUGCGUACCUUUUGUAUAAUGGGUCAGCGACUUAUAUUCUGUAGCAAGGUUAACCGAAUAGGGGAGCCGAAGGGAAACCGAGUCUUAACUGGGCGUUAAGUUGCAGGGUAUAGACCCGAAACCCGGUGAUCUAGCCAUGGGCAGGUUGAAGGUUGGGUAACACUAACUGGAGGACCGAACCGACUAAUGUUGAAAAAUUAGCGGAUGACUUGUGGCUGGGGGUGAAAGGCCAAUCAAACCGGGAGAUAGCUGGUUCUCCCCGAAAGCUAUUUAGGUAGCGCCUCGUGAAUUCAUCUCCGGGGGUAGAGCACUGUUUCGGCAAGGGGGUCAUCCCGACUUACCAACCCGAUGCAAACUGCGAAUACCGGAGAAUGUUAUCACGGGAGACACACGGCGGGUGCUAACGUCCGUCGUGAAGAGGGAAACAACCCAGACCGCCAGCUAAGGUCCCAAAGUCAUGGUUAAGUGGGAAACGAUGUGGGAAGGCCCAGACAGCCAGGAUGUUGGCUUAGAAGCAGCCAUCAUUUAAAGAAAGCGUAAUAGCUCACUGGUCGAGUCGGCCUGCGCGGAAGAUGUAACGGGGCUAAACCAUGCACCGAAGCUGCGGCAGCGACGCUGAUGCGUUGUUGGGUAGGGGAGCGUUCUGUAAGCCUGCGAAGGUGUGCUGUGAGGCAUGCUGGAGGUAUCAGAAGUGCGAAUGCUGACAUAAGUAACGAUAAAGCGGGUGAAAAGCCCGCUCGCCGGAAGACCAAGGGUUCCUGUCCAACGUUAAUCGGGGCAGGGUGAGUCGACCCCUAAGGCGAGGCCGAAAGGCGUAGUCGAUGGGAAACAGGUUAAUAUUCCUGUACUUGGUGUUACUGCGAAGGGGGGACGGAGAAGGCUAUGUUGGCCGGGCGACGGUUGUCCCGGUUUAAGCGUGUAGGCUGGUUUUCCAGGCAAAUCCGGAAAAUCAAGGCUGAGGCGUGAUGACGAGGCACUACGGUGCUGAAGCAACAAAUGCCCUGCUUCCAGGAAAAGCCUCUAAGCAUCAGGUAACAUCAAAUCGUACCCCAAACCGACACAGGUGGUCAGGUAGAGAAUACCAAGGCGCUUGAGAGAACUCGGGUGAAGGAACUAGGCAAAAUGGUGCCGUAACUUCGGGAGAAGGCACGCUGAUAUGUAGGUGAAGCGACUUGCUCGUGGAGCUGAAAUCAGUCGAAGAUACCAGCUGGCUGCAACUGUUUAUUAAAAACACAGCACUGUGCAAACACGAAAGUGGACGUAUACGGUGUGACGCCUGCCCGGUGCCGGAAGGUUAAUUGAUGGGGUUAGCGCAAGCGAAGCUCUUGAUCGAAGCCCCGGUAAACGGCGGCCGUAACUAUAACGGUCCUAAGGUAGCGAAAUUCCUUGUCGGGUAAGUUCCGACCUGCACGAAUGGCGUAAUGAUGGCCAGGCUGUCUCCACCCGAGACUCAGUGAAAUUGAACUCGCUGUGAAGAUGCAGUGUACCCGCGGCAAGACGGAAAGACCCCGUGAACCUUUACUAUAGCUUGACACUGAACAUUGAGCCUUGAUGUGUAGGAUAGGUGGGAGGCUUUGAAGUGUGGACGCCAGUCUGCAUGGAGCCGACCUUGAAAUACCACCCUUUAAUGUUUGAUGUUCUAACGUUGACCCGUAAUCCGGGUUGCGGACAGUGUCUGGUGGGUAGUUUGACUGGGGCGGUCUCCUCCUAAAGAGUAACGGAGGAGCACGAAGGUUGGCUAAUCCUGGUCGGACAUCAGGAGGUUAGUGCAAUGGCAUAAGCCAGCUUGACUGCGAGCGUGACGGCGCGAGCAGGUGCGAAAGCAGGUCAUAGUGAUCCGGUGGUUCUGAAUGGAAGGGCCAUCGCUCAACGGAUAAAAGGUACUCCGGGGAUAACAGGCUGAUACCGCCCAAGAGUUCAUAUCGACGGCGGUGUUUGGCACCUCGAUGUCGGCUCAUCACAUCCUGGGGCUGAAGUAGGUCCCAAGGGUAUGGCUGUUCGCCAUUUAAAGUGGUACGCGAGCUGGGUUUAGAACGUCGUGAGACAGUUCGGUCCCUAUCUGCCGUGGGCGCUGGAGAACUGAGGGGGGCUGCUCCUAGUACGAGAGGACCGGAGUGGACGCAUCACUGGUGUUCGGGUUGUCAUGCCAAUGGCACUGCCCGGUAGCUAAAUGCGGAAGAGAUAAGUGCUGAAAGCAUCUAAGCACGAAACUUGCCCCGAGAUGAGUUCUCCCUGACCCUUUAAGGGUCCUGAAGGAACGUUGAAGACGACGACGUUGAUAGGCCGGGUGUGUAAGCGCAGCGAUGCGUUGAGCUAACCGGUACUAAUGAACCGUGAGGCUUAACCUU